AGUCGAGCGAACAGAUGAGGAGCUUGCUCCUCUGACGUUAGCGGCGGACGGGUGAGUAACACGUGGAUAACCUACCUAUAAGACUGGGAUAACUACGGGAAACCGGAGCUAAUACCGGAUAAUAUAUUGAACCGCAUGGUUCAAUAGUGAAAGACGGUUUUGCUGUCACUUAUAGAUGGAUCCGCGCCGCAUUAGCUAGUUGGUAAGGUAACGGCUUACCAAGGCAACGAUGCGUAGCCGACCUGAGAGGGUGAUCGGCCACACUGGAACUGAGACACGGUCCAGACUCCUACGGGAGGCAGCAGUAGGGAAUCUUCCGCAAUGGGCGAAAGCCUGACGGAGCAACGCCGCGUGAGUGAUGAAGGUCUUCGGAUCGUAAAACUCUGUUAUUAGGGAAGAACAAAUGUGUAAGUAACUAUGCACGUCUUGACGGUACCUAAUCAGAAAGUCACGGCUAACUACGUGCCAGCAGCCGCGGUAAUACGUAGGUGGCAAGCGUUAUCCGGAAUUAUUGGGCGUAAAGCGCGCGUAGGCGGUUUUUUAAGUCUGAUGUGAAAGCCCACGGCUCAACCGUGGAGGGUCAUUGGAAACUGGAAAACUUGAGUGCAGAAGAGGAAAGUGGAAUUCCAUGUGUAGCGGUGAAAUGCGCAGAGAUAUGGAGGAACACCAGUGGCGAAGGCGACUUUCUGGUCUG
rnacentral:rRNA from 1 species